UACAGAGGUCUCAAGCGUUGUUCGGAUUCAUUGGGCGUAAAGGGUGCGUAGGCGGCGCGGUAAGUCGGGUGUGAAAUCUCGGAGCUUAACUCCGAAACUGCAUUCGAUACUGCCGUGCUUGAGGACUGGAGAGGAGACUGGAAUUUACGGUGUAGCGGUGAAAUGCGUAGAUAUCGGGAGGAACACCAGUGGCGAAGGCGGCGAUCUGGGAAGUUACUGACGCUGAGAGGCGAAAGCGUGGGGAGCAAACAGG
rnacentral:rRNA from 1 species